AUUGAACGCUGGCGGCAUGCCUUACACAUGCAAGUCGAACGGCAGCACGGGGCAACCUGGUGGCGAGUGGCGAACGGGUGAGUAAUGCAUCGGAACGUACCUUUCAGUGGGGGAUAACGUAGCGAAAGUUACGCUAAUACCGCAUAUUCUGUGAGCAGGAAAGCAGGGGAUCGCAAGACCUUGCGCUGAUUGAGCGGCCGAUGUCAGAUUAGCCAGUUGGUGAGGUAAAGGCUCACCAAGGCGACGAUCUGUAGCGGGUCUGAGAGGAUGAUCCGCCGCACUGGAACUGAGACACGGUCCAGACUCAUACGGGAGGCAGCAGUGGGGAAUUUUGGACAAUGGGGGCAACCCUGAUCCAGCCAUGCCGCGUGAGUGAAGAAGGCCUUCGGGUUGUAAAGCUCUUUCGGCCGGGAAGAAAUCGCACGGGCUAAUACCCUGUGUGGAUGACGGUACCGGAAUAAGAAGCACCGGCUAACUACGUGCCAGCCGCCGCCGUAAGAC
rnacentral:rRNA from 1 species